UCCCAGCCGUAAACGAUGCUCGCUAGGUGUCUGGGACGGUGCGACCGUUUCAGGUGCCGCAGGGAAGCCGUGAAGCGAGCCACCUGGGAAGUACGGCCGCAAGGCUGAAACUUAAAGGAAUUGGCGGGGGAGCACUACAACGGGUGGAGCCUGCGGUUUAAUUGGACUCAACGCCGGAAAACUCACCUGGGGCGACAGCAAUAUGUAGGUCAGGCUGAAGGUCUUACCUGAAUCGCUGAGAGGAGGUGCAUGGCCGUCGUCAGUUCGUACUGUGAAGCAUCCUGUUAAGUCAGGCAACGAGCGAGACCCGUGCCCACUGUUGCCAGCAURUCCUUCGGGAUGAUGGGUACUCUGUGGGGACCGCYGGUGCUAAACCRGAGGAAGGUGCGGGCUACGGUAGGUCAGUAUGCCCCGAAUCUCCMGGGCUACACGCGGGCUACAAUGGCYGGGACAAUGGGUCCCUACMCYGAAARGKGWUGGUAAUCUCMUAAACCCAKCCGUAGUUCGAAUUGAGGRCUGUAACUCGUCCUCAUGAAGCUGGAAUCCGUAGUAAUCGCGUUUCAACAUAGCGCGGUGAAUACGUYCCUGCUCCUUGCACACACCGCCCGUCAAACCACCCGAGUGAGGUAUGG
rnacentral:rRNA from 1 species